rnacentral:rRNA from 1 species
AUUCCAGCUCCAAUAGCGUAUAUUAAAGUUGUUGCGGUUAAAAAGCUCGUAGUUGGAUUUCUGCCGAGGAUGACCGGUCCGCCCUGUGGGUGUGCAUCUGGCUCAGCCUUGGCAUCUUCCUGAAGAACGUAGCUGCACUUGACUGUGUGGUGCGGUAUUUAGGACAUUUACUUUGAGGAAAUUAGAGUGUUUCAAGCAAGCGCACGCUUUGAAUACAUUAGCAUGGAAUAAUAAGAUAGGACCUCGGUUCUAUUUUGUUGGUUUCUAGAGCUGAGGUAAUGAUUGAUAGGGAUAGUUGGGGGCAUUCGUAUUUAACUGUCAGAGGUGUAAUUCUUGGAUUAACGGAAGAUGAACUUCUGCGAAAGCAUCUGCCAAGGAUGUUUUCAUUG